rnacentral:tRNA from 1 species
GCCUCGGUAGCUUAGUUGGUAGAGCACUACAUUGGUAAUGUAGAGGUCGUGGGUUCAACCCCCAUCCGAGGCU